rnacentral:rRNA from 1 species
UCCCAUAACGAGCGCAACCCUACCCUUUAGUUGCCAUCAGGUAAUGCUGGGGACUCUAAAGGAACUGCCUACGCAAGUAGUGAGGAAGCGGGGAUGACGUCAAAUCAGCACGGCCCUUACGUCCAGGGCUACACACGUGCUACAAUGGCCGAUACAGAGGGCAGCUACCUGGUGACAGGAUGCAAAUCUCCAAAGUCGGUCUCAGUUCGGAUCGGAGUCUGCAACCCGACUCCGUGAAGUUGGAUUCGCUAGUAAUCGCGCAUCAGCCAUGGCGCGGUGAAUACGUUCCCGGGCCUU